GAAGGUGUGUCGUGAGGCAUGCUGGAGGUAUCAGAAGUGCGAAUGCUGACAUAAGUAACGAUAAAGCGGGUGAAAAGCCCGCUCGCCGGAAGACCAAGGGUUCCUGUCCAACGUUAAUCGGGGCAGGGUGAGUCGACCCCUAAGGCGAGGCCGAAAGGCGUAGUCGAUGGGAAACGGGUUAAUAUUCCCGUACUUGGUGUUACUGCGAAGGGGGGACGGAGAAGGCUAUGUUGGCCGGGCGACGGUUGUCCCGGUUUAAGCGUGUAGGUGUGUGUUCCAGGUAAAUCCGGUUCACUUUAACACUGAGGCGUGACGACGAGGCACUACGGUGCUGAAGCAACAAAUGCCCUGCUUCCAGGAAAAGCCUCUAAGCAUCAGGUAACAUCAAAUCGUACCCCAAACCGACACAGGUGGUCAGGUAGAGAAUACCAAGGCGCUUGAGAGAACUCGGGUGAAGGAACUAGGCAAAAUGGUGCCGUAACUUCGGGAGAAGGCACGCUGACACGUAGGUGAAGUGAUUUACUCAUGGAGCUGAAGUCAGUCGAAGAUACCAGCUGGCUGCAACUGUUUAUUAAAAACACAGCACUGUGCAAACACGAAAGUGGACGUAUACGGUGUGACGCCUGCCCGGUGCCGGAAGGUUAAUUGAUGGGGUCAGCGCAAGCGAAGCUCCUGAUCGAAGCCCCGGUAAACGGCGGCCGUAACUAUAACGGUCCUAAGGUAGCGAAAUUCCUUGUCGGGUAAGUUCCGACCUGCACGAAUGGCGUAAUGAUGGCCAGGCUGUCUCCACCCGAGACUCAGUGAAAUUGAACUCGCUGUGAAGAUGCAGUGUACCCGCGGCAAGACGGAAAGACCCCGUGAACCUUUACUAUAGCUUGACACUGAACAUUGAGCCUUGAUGUGUAGGAUAGGUGGGAGGCUUUGAAGUGUGGACGCCAGUCUGCAUGGAGCCGACCUUGAAAUACCACCCUUUAAUGUUUGAUGUUCUAACGUGGACCCGUUACCCGGGUUGCGGACAGUGUCUGGUGGGUAGUUUGACUGGGGCGGUCUCCUCCUAAAGAGUAACGGAGGAGCACGAAGGUUGGCUAAUCCUGG
rnacentral:rRNA from 1 species